rnacentral:rRNA from 1 species
AUCUUGCGCAAUGGCCGAAAGGCUGACGCAGCGACGCCGCGUGCGGGAGGAAGGCCUUCGGGUCGUAAACCGCUGUCAGUGGGGACGAAUCCCCGGGGGAGGCAAUGCUCCCGGGCUGACGGUACCCACAGAGGAAGCACCGGCUAACUCCGUGCCAGCAGCCGCGGUAAUACGGAGGGUGCGAGCGUUGGUCGGAAUCAUUGGGCGUAAAGCGCGCGCAGGCGGCUUCAUAAGUCUCUGGGUCAAAUGCCGGGGCUCAACCCCGUGCUCGCCCGAGAUACUGCGGAGCUGGAGGCAGGUAGAGGCGAGUGGAAUUCCGGGUGUAGCGGUGGAAUGCGUAGAGAUCCGGAAGAACACCGGAGGCGAAGGCGGCUCGCUGGACCUGACCUGACGCUGAGGCGCGAAAGCGUGGGGAGCGAACAGG